AUUGAACGCUGGCGGCAUGCCUUACACAUGCAAGUCGAACGGUAACAGGUCUUCGGAUGCUGACGAGUGGCGAACGGGUGAGUAAUACAUCGGAACGUGCCCGAUCGUGGGGGAUAACGAAGCGAAAGCUUUGCUAAUACCGCAUAAGAUCUACGGAUGAAAGCAGGGGACCGCAAGGCCUUGCGCGAACGGAGCGGCCGGUGGCAGAUUAGGUAGUUGGUGGGAUAAAAGCUUACCAAGCCGACGAUCUGUAGCUGGUCUGAGAGGACGACCAGCCACACUGGGACUGAGACACGGCCCAGACUCCUACGGGAGGCAGCAGUGGGGAAUUUUGGACAGUGGGCGAAAGCCUGAUCCAGCCAUGCCGCGUGCAGGAUGAAGGCCUUCGGGUUGUAAACUGCUUUUGUACGGAACGAAAAGACUCUGGUUAAUACCUGGGGUCCAUGACGGUACCGUAAGAAUAAGCACCGGCUAACUACGUGCCAGCCGCCGCCGUAAAAC
rnacentral:rRNA from 1 species